rnacentral:rRNA from 1 species
UACAGAGGGUGCGAGCGUUGUUCGGAAUUAUUGGGCGUAAAGCGCAUGUAGGCGGUCUGUUAAGUCGCGUGUGAAAGCUCCCGGCUCAACCGGGAAAGUGCGCGCGAAACUGACAGACUUGAGUGCUGGAGAGGGUGGCGGAAUUCCCGGUGUAGAGGUGAAAUGCGUAGAUAUUGGGAGGAACACCAGUGGCGAAGGCGGCUCACUGGACCGGAACUGACGCUGAGGCACGAAAGCGUGGGGAGCAAACAGG